rnacentral:rRNA from 1 species
GACGAACGCUGGCGGCGUGCUUAACACAUGCAAGUCGAACGGAAAGGCCCCGCUUGCUGCGUACUCGAGUGGCGAACGGGUGAGUAACACGGGGCUGAUCGGCCCUGCACUCUGGGCUAAGCCUGGGAAACUGGGUCUAAUACCGGAUACGACCAACUGUCGCAUGGUGGGUGGUGGAAGGCCUUUGCGGUGUGGGUUGGGGCCGCGGCCUAUCAGCUUGUUGGUGGGGGAAUGGCCGACCAAGGCGGCGACGGGUCGCCGACCUGAGACGGGGAUCGGCCACCCUGGGACUGAGACACGGCGCAGACUCCUACGGGAGGCAGCAGUGGGGAAUAUUGCACAAUGGGCGCAAGCGUGAUGCUGGGAGGCGGCGUGCGCGAUAACGGCCUUCGGGUUGAAAACCUCUUUCACCAGGGCCGAAGCGUGAGUGACGGUACCUUGAGAAGAAGCACCGGCCAACUACGUGCCAGCAGCCGCCGUAAUAC